ACGCUCGACACCUACGGAGGCAGCAGUGGGGAAUAUUGCACAAUGGGGGAAACCCUGAUGCAGCGACGCCGCGUGAGCGAAGAAGUAUUUCGGUAUGUAAAGCUCUAUCAGCAGGGAAGAAACUGACGGUACCUGACUAAGAAGCACCGGCUAAAUACGUGCCAGAGCCGCGGUAAUCUGAGCGGGCGUGGCGAAGGC
rnacentral:rRNA from 1 species